UGUUUAUGUUUGGGCAGCCAUUUUCUGAGUCGGGUGGUCUAAGGAGACGGAAGUGUUACGAGAAUUUCGUUGAAAUUACACGGUUAUGCAUCAGCACAUGAAUUUUGUAUGUGCUCCACCCCUUCAUCCUGUUCCAUCAGAGCGAAAUGGCCGCUGCGGGUGUUUCCUUAGCUUGCAGAAUAGUAGAGCAUCCAGGAGCUGUGGAAGAUGUGAUAAAGAGAGGACACGGGUGCCUCCACCCAGAGCAGCCUUGACUCAACACAGCAUCAGAGAUAUACCUGGCGCAAGCACAGGAGCUGGCAUUCCGUGAGAAUGUCUUGCUUUGACGUGUCAGUUGACCAUCCGCACGCAGACAUCGUGCACUACUUCCAUGUGGGUAUGCCACUGCAGUGCAGGCUGCGCAGGUGCGUCUAAGAAGACCACUCGAAGAGCAGGAUUAUUCUGUGCUGUUGUGAACAUUAUCGUGUGGAAUUAUAUGCAGAGUAUUUUUCGUGACUUAUUGGCAUGUAUAGCCACUAUGGUUGUUGUGAAGAGAGACAGCACACUUUGACUAUUUAUUCUAGUGUGGCAGUGAACGUCAGCACAGCUACAGGUAAUAAAUGAUGGCUAUUUCUUAUCCUCACUUUUGUGUUCAUGCUGUAGUGAUAAUGAUGAUUAUCAGCAGCAUCCCAGUUGAUGUAUGUUUUUCCUUUCCUAGGUUGUUUCCGUGAGUGGUUCCCGUGUGCUUAUCUUAACACUCGUCAUGGUCUUUAUUUCCUCGUGUCCCUCCUGUAAUAUCUCUUAUUGUUUUGUGGCUUGUACUUCUGUGUUGUGCAGGUCGUCAGGUUGACUCCGAAAUUCUCAUAAUUUAUUUAUAGGAUACCAGAAUCAGAUAUCGGGUCUUCCAAGCUUACUCAUUUUGCCAGGCUAUUUUAUUGCACUCGAGAGAAAGGAAGAAGCGCAAAGGUUGUUGGUGUUCUUACCGUGCUUAAGUAAUUAAGCAGUACGCCUGUGCCACGAAGACCUGUGGGGUUGUGGAUAUAUAGACAUACGUUUUCUUGACCUGUGCCCUAGUUGGAGGUGAGUCGCAUUAUCGUGUUAAAAUUGAGGACAGUAUUUACUGCAGGGCACGUGAAACUUUAUGAAAGGUGUCUAGAUUCUGUCUUUGUUGAAUGACACAGUGUUAUCUAGUAGAAGUUUACAUGUUGUUUGUUUUGAAAUUUCUUGAAAUGGUUUAAGGUUUUAAAAGAUGAUGUUGGACACGCAAAGCAUAAGGUAUGCUUCAUUUUAAUGAGUUUUGUUUGGAUCGGAAUUUGAGAGGUCUUGUCUUCUGGAAUAUAAAGCCGUGCAGCCUGUUGAUAUUCGGGAUACACUUGAGAGUGGAGUGUUACGUCCAUCUUGUAAGUGAGAGAAUGAGCCAAGCAAGAAAGCAGCAUGGAGGAGAGCAAAUGUUUUAAUGACCAUGGCAUUUCUGGCCACAUCUUGAUAAAUGUUCAAAUUAGGAAAUAAUAUUUUGAACAGAAGUUCUAAAGAACAGUGCAACAUUUUCUCUGUAAUUCUUAGGCCUGCGGUUGGUGAGGUAGUUAAUAGUGACGUAAUGAGCCCAGUUUUGAACUUUCACAUUUCAGAAAUGUGGAAUUCAUUCUGUGGGCACUAUAUCUUUGACUUCUCAUCAUUGUGAGUAUCUUGACCUGACAAUGAAUAGUUGCGUGUGAAUUCAGUGGCUGGUGGUGACACGGUAACAGUUCAGCAUAGUCUUAAUUUUGUGAAUCGUAAAUCGUUCUACCAAAUGUCAGUUUUAAGUGUGCGCUGUAUAUUUUCACAAUAUUGUUAAUAGUGCUUUACCCAUAAUUUGAUGCGUGGCAUCCAGGUGAUCGGGCCAAAGAGACAUUAUUUCAGGCAGAAAUGAAUUUUGUAUUCUGAUGGUGAGGGCCACACCAAGAAAGCAGAAAGUAUGUAUCCACCUUCCUUUGUGUCCUAGCAUUCCUUGGCAUACAUUUUCUGGUGAGUGAUGCCAGAGGUGCGUAGAUGCUGUACGCAUGAUGAGACUGUUGUGUUUGUCUCAGAUUGAUGUUCAUCAGCUUCACAUGUUAUCUAAGCGCAUCAUAGAGAUGAUGAUGGAGUAUUAAGGGGCUUGGGGGUGAGGGGUGAGGGUGGUGGUGAACCUUCAUGUAUUCUUCACCUGAGAUCUAAAAGUCCAACUGCCUGUACUAUGGAAGGAUCCCCAUUUAGGUUUAUCUGUAGUGGUAUGGUGGUUGGACCUCAGUGGUGCCCCGAACAGUGUCGAAGAAAGUAGCAUCCCUUACCUUUCUAGCAGGGAUCGCACUCUGGCCAUCCAUGUCGAAGCUCAUAACUUC